CGGAUCACUGUCCUGAAAAAAGUAAUCUGAGACCAUUUAUAUUUAAUCAGGAUGAAGGCGGAUUGCUGUCCUGAAAAACUUGAGCAUAUAGCACUCAAGAUGUGACUUUAUACAAUAUGAAAACUGAAAAUUCAUUAGGAUUCAGAAUAUUCAAGGAUAAUGAUUCACAAAGACUUUAAGUUUAUAUGUUGUAGAAAAAAUUAAGGUUGGGAGGAAUGUUAUACCCAAUACAUGGCUGCUGAUUGGUCGCGUCUUGACUGAGGCCACCACCUGGUGGAAGACGUGGUAAUGGGAAUGAGCAUGAAAGAAGCACAUGGCAAGUGAGACCCACAGCACCUGGUCAUAACAGAUGAUAUGUAUUCAACCCAAGGUGGAGCAGUGGUCAUUAAACACCGUCACCCAUCACCAUGCCAAAAACACCUCCUUGCAGCUCCAGUCUCCAUACAGCAUGGUGUCUUCUAGGUGAGCUGACUUUACCUGGCUUAACAUGGGGGGACAUGUAUUGUUAAUAUGAAAUAGACAGGAAAUAACAGCUGCAGGAAUAUCCCUUAAACUCACACAGUUGUGCAAGACACAGCAAGUUUCAGGAUGAAUGGGUUGUGAAGAGCCAGAGACAGGACAGCCAUGGUAAACAGGGAACUGGACUUCUUGCAGUUCACACACAUGGUUUGACAGUUGUUGUGAAUUGUGAAGCGUCUCAGUAGUGGCCUGCUUGAUGUGGUCAAUUUGGGUUGAAAUGUAUUGGACCCAAAGUGGAGCAGUGGUCAUUACUUCC